rnacentral:rRNA from 1 species
GAUGAACGCUGGCGGCGUGCCUAAUACAUGCAAGUCGAGCGAACAGACGAGGAGCUUGCUCCUCUGACGUUAGCGGCGGACGGGUGAGUAACACGUGGAUAACCUACCUAUAAGACUGGGAUAACUUCGGGAAACCGGAGCUAAUACCGGAUAACAUGUUGAACCGCAUGGUUCAACAGUGAAAGACGGUCUUGCUGUCACUUAUAGAUGGAUCCGCGCCGCAUUAGCUAGUUGGUAAGGUAACGGCUUACCAAGGCAACGAUGCGUAGCCGACCUGAGAGGGUGAUCGGCCACACUGGAACUGAGACACGGUCCAGACUCCGACGGGAGGCAGCAGUAGGGAAUCUUCCGCAAUGGGCGAAAGCCUGACGGAGCAACGCCGCGUGAGUGAUGAAGGUCUUCGGAUCGUAAAACUCUGUUAUUAGGGAAGAACAAAUGUGUAAGUAACUAUGCACGUCUUGACGGUACCUAAUCAGAAAGCCACGGCUAACUACG